UCUUCCUCACCGGGUUUUAUUUCACUUUUUCCUAAUGUUGUUCUUUUUUGAUUUUCCAAUCUCUUUCUGUUCUGUGGCUGUGUUUUAAAUAAUACUACCAAACUAUUCUUACUAUUGCUGCAGUAAAUAGUAUGCAUACUGUAUAUACUCUCUGUUGUAUUAAUAUUCUUUAUGCAUAUUAACAUGAAUAUGUGCAGUAUUCAAAAGAGUAUAUUUCAAGGAAUACUGUAUCCCACAAUGCAAUGUGCUCGACAUGACUUUCCAUUUCCAGUGUGUCAAAUUAACUAGAAUUAAUAUCAGAUGUGAUUUUGUGGCUCACUGUUUUAGUGGACUGCCAAAACUCAGAAAUUAGGUCAUGUGACAAGCAUAAUAUUGUUUGAAAGGUUCAUUGUGUAAUAAUGCAUACUGUUUCACUUACUAUUUAAAAAACUAAAUCAUAGGCUAAUAAGCUAGUAUUCUGUUCUGAACAUAACCUAUGUUAUAUACCAGUGUAGUGCAUACUGUGUAGUAUGUGUACUGUUAACUACUUCAAAUAUAUAAAUAUUGAUAGUUAAAUAAAUUAAAAUUGUAUGUAGUGAUGCAGAUGAAAUCACAUUAUUAAAUUAUUUGACGCUUUUGUCCAAUUUUAUGUAUAACAUGUUUUAACUUUACACAGUUCAAAUAAUGAGGAAAGAAAAUCAUUGAAAUCAGGUUUAUUCUGGAUUUACAUUGAAAUAGGAGUGUCAAUUGCAUUGCAUUGUGGGAAACUGUAUUCUGUGCUCUGGUUGUAUACUGUAUAUUUGAGUGUCUCCCAGCUAUUCCAUGCAUAUAGAAACCUUGCAUACUGUCUACUGUAUACAUACUGCAUAAAUAGUGUGAGUAGUAUGGUGAUCUGCUGUUCUCUCUCUUAACUCUGUGUAGUUCUCUCGUUUCUGUUCUUCUCUGUCUGUCUGUUGGGCACGUGUCCAGUGUUUCUGCAGGGUUAGACUAUCAUUCCGGCAGUACAGUCAUGAACGCUCUUUGAGCGGAGCUAAUGAUCCGUGUACAGUGGAGGGCAAGCCAGAUCUGGAUGAAAACCCUUCAUCAGCUGGCCUUAAUAGAUCUCUUUAAACUCAAACUCAGGAUGUCAUGUUAUUUUUCCACUUCUUACUUUCCCCAGUCAAACUGUUGAUGCAUAUACAGCAAACCAUAUUUCCAGAAUUCACUGUUUUAUGGCCUUUAUGGCCCUCAGACUGGCCAGCAGUUCUUACCACAUUUUGGUAGGGGAAAAAACUAUUUCUGUUGGGAUGGGACAGGAUGGUUGACUAGUCUAAAAAUAGACUAGUUUACUAGGGUGCCGGGUGUUUGACAAGUCUAAAAAGAGACUAGUUUACUAAGGUACAGGAUGGUUGACUAGUCUAAAAUAGAGUAGUUUACUAAGGUACAGGAUGGUUGACUUGUCUAAAAUAGACUAGUUUACUAAGGUACAGGAUAGUUGACUAGUUUACUAAGGUACAGGAUGGUUGACUAGUCUAAAAUAGACUAGUUUUACUAGGGUGCCGGGUGUUUGACAAGUCUAAAAAUAGACUAGUUUACUAGGGUACAGGAUGGUUGACUAGUCUAAAAUAGAGUAGUUUACUAAGGUGCCGGAUGGUUGCCCAGGAUGGUUGACUAGUCUAAAAAGAGACUAGUUUACUAAGGUGCCGGAUGGUUGACUAGUCUAAAAAUAGACUAGUUUACUAAGGUACAGGAUGGUUGACUAGUCUAAAAAUAGACUAGUUUACUAAGGUACAGGAUGGUUGACAAGUCUAAAAUAGACUAGUUUACUAAGGUACAGGAUGGUUGACUAGUCUAAAAUAGACUAGUUUACUAAGGUACAGGAUGGUUGACUAGUCUAAAAAGAGACUAGUUUACUAAGGUGCCGGAUGGUUGCCUAGGAUGGUUGACUAGUCUAAAAAGAGACUAGCUUACUAAGGUGCCGGAUGGUUGACUAGUCUAAAAAUAGACUAGUUUACUAAGGUACAGGAUGGUUGACAAGUCUAAAAAUAGACUAGUUUACUAAGGUACAGGAUGGUUGACUAGUCUAAAAUAGACUAGUUUACUAAGGUACAGGAUGGUUGACAAGUCUAAAAAGAGACUAGUUUACUAAGGGUCCGGGUGGUUGACUAGUCUAAAAAUAGACUAGUUUAAUAAGGUACAGGAUGGUUGACUAGUCUAAAAAGAGACUAGUUUACUAAGGUACAGGAUGGUUGACUAGUCUAAUAAGAAACUAGUUUACUAAGGUGCCGGAUGGUUGACUAGUCUAAAAAUAGACUAGUUUACUAAGGUACAGGAUGGUUGACUAGUCUAAAAAUAGACUAGUUUACUAAGGUACAGGAUGGUUGACAAGUCUAAAAUAGACUAGUUUACUAAGGUACAGGAUGGUUGACUAGUCUAAAAUAGACUAGUUUACUAAGGUACAGGAUGGCUGACAAGUCUAAAAUAGACUAGUUUACUAAGGCACAGGAUGGUUGACUAGUCUAAAAAGAGACUAGUUUACUAAGGUGCCGGAUGGUUGCCUAGGAUGGUUGACUAGUCUAAAAAGAGACUAGCUUACUAAGGUGCCGGAUGGUUGACUAGUCUAAAAAUAGACUAGUUUACUAAGGUACAGGAUGGUUGACAAGUCUAAAAAUAGACUAGUUUACUAAGGUACAGGAUGGUUGACUAGUCUAAAAUAGACUAGUUUACUAAGGUACAGGAUGGUUGACAAGUCUAAAAAGAGACUAGUUUACUAAGGGUCCGGGUGGUUGACUAGUCUAAAAAUAGACUAGUUUAAUAAGGUACAGGAUGGUUGACUAGUCUAAAAAGAGACUAGUUUACUAAGGUGCUAUAUGGUUGACUAGGAUGGUUGACUAGUCUAAAAAUAGACUAGUUUACUAAGGUACAGGAUGGUUGACUAGUCUAAUAAGAAACUAGUUUACUAAGGUGCCGGGUGGUUGACUAGUCUAAAAAUAGACUAGUUUACUAAGGUACAGGAUGGUUGACUAGUCUAAUAAGAGACUAGUUUACUAAGGUGCUGGGUGGUUGACUAGGAUGGUUGACUAGUCUAAAAAUAGGCUAGUUUACUUAGGUGCCGAGUGGUUGACAAGUCGAAAAAGACUAGUUUACUAAAGUGCCAAAUGGUUGGCUAGGAUGGUUGACUAGUCUAAAAAUAGACUAGUUUACUAAGGUGCUGGGUGGUUGACUAGGAUGGUUGACUAGUCUAAAAAUAGGCUAGUUUACUUAGGUGCCGAGUGGUUGACAAGUCGAAAAAGACUAGUUUACUAAAGUGCCAAAUGGUUGGCUAGGAUGGUUGACUAGUCUAAAAAUAGACUAGUUUACUAAGGUGCCAGAUAUGCUAUUCUACUUUUUUUAUUUUAGCUUUAAAAUUUAAGAGUUAUGUGUGUAUGUUAAUUCACUGGCUUGAUGAGUGCCGUUUUAUUCAUUUUGUUUUGCCACAUUUCCUUUUGAAAUAAGUCUCUGAGAACCAAGCGUACUAACUUUUGAUAAGGGCUAAAGUGAGUGUAUUUUGUUCAAAUAGUAACGUUUGUGAUGGAAAUGACGGAUGUAAAUAAAUUUAUAUAAACCUUUUUGAUAAAUAUUGAAAUGCUUUGUUUUUUUUUUUUCACUUUUUGUUUAAAUAGUGUUAAAAUGCAAUGAUUAAUUUAAUAUAAUUUUUUUCAAAAAAUAAACAAAAUCCGUACAUGAGACAUUAAUAAAGUUUUUAGUAUUAAAAUGUAAUUAUUUCAAAAAUUAAAACAAAGUCUGUACAUAAAAGACAUUUAAAAAGUAGCUAAAUUAAAUGUUUUAGAUAUGAAAUAAAAUGUUUCAAAGAUGGGUUUUAAUAUGACCUUCAUAUAAUAAAAACAAGUUUAAAUCUGUUAGCUUUAAUAAAAAUCAACCCCUGGUUCAUAAAAGUGCUCGUAGUUGAAGAAAUGUCCAUUGGCAGAAAAGUAAUUCAGACAUUUAAGAACCGUUAUUUGAGCCAAACAUCAUGAAAAUCAUUAUUCAGAACCUGUUCUGAGUGAUAUUAACCAUACUAAUGUGUGUCUGUUUA